CUCCACGGAGCAGGUCAAGGGGGAAGGAGGCACCGCUUGGUUCGGGUGGUCCACGAAGUCUAUGACGUAGCCAUGUACCGUCUGCAGGAUCCAUGCGUCCGUCGAAAUGGUUGUCCAGUUCUGAAAAUAAAGAGCAAUAUGACCUGCCGUUCGUGCAGAAAGGGUCUGUGAGUCACAUAUCGGCUUACCUGUAGGGGUGAAGCGUG